AUACGUAGGGGGCGAGCGUUGUCCGGAAUGAUUGGGCGUAAAGGGCGCGUAGGCGGCCCGGUAAGUCUGGAGUGAAAGUCCUGCUUUUAAGGUGGGAAUUGCUUUGGAUACUGUCGGGCUUGAGUGCAGGAGAGGUAAGUGGAAUUCCCAGUGUAGCGGUGAAAUGCGUAGAGAUUGGGAGGAACACCAGUGGCGAAGGCGACUUACUGGACUGUAACUGACGCUGAGGCGCGAAAGUGUGGGGAGCAAACAGGAUUAGAUACCCUGGUAGUCCACACUGUAAACGAUGAAUGCUAGGUGUAGGGGGUAUCGACCCCUUCUGUGCCGCAGUUAACACAAUAAGUAUUCCGCCUGGGGAGUACGGCCGCAAGGUUGAAACUCAAAUGAAUUGACGGGU
rnacentral:rRNA from 1 species